CACGUAGGGGGCGAGCGUUGUCCGGAUUUAUUGGGCGUAAAGAGCUCGUAGGCGGCUUAGUAAGUCGGGUGUGAAACCUCCAGGCUCAACCUGGAGACGCCACCCGAUACUGCUAUAGCUAGAGUCCGGUAGGGGAGCGUGGAAUUCCUGGUGUAGCGGUGAAAUGCGCAGAUAUCAGGAGGAACACCAGUGGCGAAGGCGACUUCCUGGCCUGUUCUUGACGCUGAGGCGCGAAAGCUAGGGUAGCAAACGGG
rnacentral:rRNA from 1 species